rnacentral:rRNA from 1 species
AUUGAACGCUGGCGGCAUGCUUUACACAUGCAAGUCGAACGGCAGCACGGACUUCGGUCUGGUGGCGAGUGGCGAACGGGUGAGUAAUACAUCGGAACGUGCCCAGUUGUGGGGGAUAACUACUCGAAAGAGUAGCUAAUACCGCAUGAGAACUGAGGUUGAAAGCAGGGGAUCGUAAGACCUUGCGCAACUGGAGCGGCCGAUGGCAGAUUAGGUAGUUGGUGGGAUAAAAGCUUACCAAGCCGACGAUCUGUAGCUGGUCUGAGAGGACGACCAGCCCCACUGGGACUGAGACACGGCCCAGACUCCUACGGGAGGCAGCAGUGGGGAAUUUUGGACAAUGGGUGAAAGCCUGAUCCAGCAAUGCCGCGUGCAGGAUGAAGGCCUUCGGGUUGUAAACUGCUUUUGUACGGAACGAAAAGCUUCGGGUUAAUACCCUGGAGUCAUGACGGUACCGUAAGAAUAAGCACCGGCUAACUACGUGCCAGCAGCCGCCGUAAGAC